AAAAAAAAAAAAUUAAACUAAUAAAGAUAGCACUGCAUAAUAACAGUUGGGGAAAAACUAUGGAAUCCUUUUUUUUCUCAGGGUUUUAUUGAAUGUUCAGGAAAUAUCUUUGGCUGUGCCCAGAACUGAAGAUAUGAGUUAAAUAACCAUUUGAAUGCCUGGGUCAUCCUGUAUUCACUCAACCACAAGUGGGUUGGCCCAGGAAUUUGUACUGAGGAACUGGUGCACAACUUUGAAUUGAGCAAUUUACAGGGCAAAGGUACAGCAUGUUUGGACAAGUAACAAUCCUGAAUUACCUCUUCCAGGCUCUUUAAAAUCGUUAAUGCUGUUUCCUGUGUAUUUCACCAACCGUAGAGAUGUGAAUGAACAGAAUAGCAGUCAGAAGAAGAAGGAAAUGAAGGGCUAAGGGAACUGGCAAUUCAGCAGCCAGGAAGGCACCCUUCCUCUUCAGACAAGAGGCAGCUUAAAGGGAGGUCCUCAAACACACUGUACCAUCUCCGUAUGG
rnacentral:sRNA from 1 species